AGUAGGGAAUUUUUCACAAUGGGCGAAAGCCUGAUGGAGCAAUGCCGCGUGACUGAUGAAGGUCUUCGGAUUGUAAAGGUCUGUUGUAAGGGAAGAAAGAAUAAAAUAGGAAAUGAUUUUAUUUUUGACGGUACCUUACCUAGAAAGCCACGGCUAACUAUGUGCCAGCAGCCGCGGUAAUACAUAGGUGGCAAGCGUUAUCCGGAUUUAUUGGGCGUAAAGGGUGCGUAGACGGUUUUGUAAGUCUGAGGUUAAAUAUGAGAGCUCAACUCUCAUCUGCCUUGGAAACUGUAAAACUAGAGUGUAGGAGAGGCUAGUGGAAUUCCAUGUGUAGCGGUGGAAUGUGUAGAUAUAUGGAGGAACACCAGUGGCGAAGGCGGCUAGCUGGCCUAAUACUGACGUUGAAGCACGAAAGCGUGGGGAGCAAA
rnacentral:rRNA from 1 species